AGUCCUUCUUAGCCAUCUUUAGCUCCCGGUUUUUAAGGACUAUCUAUACUCAAAAUGCUUC
rnacentral:ncRNA from 1 species